rnacentral:rRNA from 1 species
CCUACGGGUGGCAGCAGUGGGGAAUAUUGCACAAUGGGGGGAACCCUGAUGCAGCGACGCCGCGUGAGUGAAGAAGUAUUUCGGUAUGUAAAGCUCUGUCAGCAGGGAAGAAGAAAGACGGUACCUGACCAAGAAGCCCCGGCUAACUACGUGCCAGCAGCCGCGGUAAUACGUAGGGGGCAAGCGUUAUCCGGAUUUACUGGGUGUAAAGGGAGCGUAGACGGCAGGGCAAGUCUGGAGUGAAAGGCAGGGGCCCAACCCCUGGACUGCUCUGGAAACUGUCCGGCUGGAGUGCAGGAGAGGUAAGUGGAAUUCCUAGUGUAGCGGUGAAAUGCAUAGAUAUCACGCAGAACUCCGAUUGCGAAGGCAGCAUACCGGCGCCCGACUGACGCUGAGGCACGAAAGCGUGGGGAUCGAACAGGAUUAGAUACCCCAGUAGUC